AAAUAAACUUGAAUUUAAUUGUUUCAACUGUGCCCUCUUGGGUGCAGGCAAUAUCAAAAAGGGACUAUGUCCUCAUUGUGAGGCCAUGCCCAUGACAGUACUGCGAUCCUGCCUUUCUAUCCUUCGGGAAGGAUCGACACCUCUGCUGUCACCCAACCCGGUUUUUCUGCGGCUAACAGAGGAUCGGCGGCUGACACAUUGGGGAUCAGAAGACUACGGGAGUGCUGCUCCGCGGUUUCAACCCUGCAGACCACUCAUUCCUCCCUCAGUGCUUCUUCCGUCCGGCUGCCGAGUGAUGCAGGAGGGUUGUCUCAUGCCGGUCCUUCCAUGUCGUUUGGUGCAGAGAGGAGGACCAGAUGUCAACCUCUGCAUCGGGGACGGGCUAUCGUUAGGCGAGGAGGAUGAUGAGGAGGAGCCGUGGCCUUCGGAGUCAGAUCCGGAGUUGCAAGCCAUGCUUGGCCGGGCCGCCACGCAGUAUCGGGCUGGAGCUGUCAACAUCGCUCAGCCCUGAGCCCUCGGGAUUGGAUGAUUGGUUUCUGGGGGCUGCCUGUGAUAGUAAAUCGUGGCCCGCUCCAGUGCCUUGCUUCCUGGAGGUGAAUAAGGAGUUGAAAAAUUUGUGGAUAGCUCCUUUUUCAGCCAGAAGCCGCUCGUCUUCCUCCUCCAUCUUCACCAUUUGUGCCGGCAAAGCGCGCCACCUGGCGAAAUCGUCCCAGACUCCCAUCUAAAGCGUUGUAGGACCACGGCGCGUUGCUCCUAAGGCCUACAGUGCUGCGGGCAAAGCUGCCUCUGCCCUGCAUGUCAUGGCAAUCCUGCAGGUUCACCCAGGCCAAGGAAUUGAAAGAGCUGCACGAGGGUGGCUCCAACCUGCGGUCGAUGCAGGUGCUGUGCACAGCGACCGACUUUGCUCUCUGAAGUCACAGCGCGGCCCCUCUGGAAGCGAUGUCCACUUUGGUGAUCCAGAGCCCCAGCUAUGGCUCAAUCUGGCCAAGAUGCACGAUGCUGACAAGAUUCUCUUCUUGGAUGCUCUCAUCUCUCAGGCUGGGCUAUUCGGCGACACUGAGGACUUAGCAGUUUUGGCAGUACAACAGCAGACAGAGGCGAUUCAGCACAUCGUACCCGGCGUGAUCCUCCAGCUGCCACCGCUCUGUUGCGGGUUUCAUCUCGUCCUGCUUGCCGCCGAGGGCACCCUUUUCAGCCUCAGGUAGUCUGCAAGUCCUCCAGGAAGAUGACAAAGAGACCCUGAGAUGGAUGGCCCGGAGAGGUGAGCAGUUGCUCUUCAGGAAAUGGUGAACAUGGCACCACUUCUUUUCCCCGGAGGAUGGCCGGGUGGAAAACCUUCUGUUUCAUUUUCCUGCUGUUCCACCCAAGGGUCUGUGGUAUCUAUUGUCUCAGAAAAGAGCAAUUUCCUCAUCCUCCGGGCGUCGGGUCCAUGGUGUGACAGAGUGCAGAGAUCUGUUUCUUCACUUCCCCCACAGCACCCCCUUUGCCAGUGGCCAAGAGACAACAGUUAGGGGGGCGCUACGCUUCUCCAUGUAUCUCCAGUUAGAGCGGUAAGGCAUUCGAAAGUCUGUGAAGUUCCAGCCCGAGCGGACUGUCCAAUCCAACUGUUCCCGCUGCACACCCCUUGGUACGCUGAUGAGUCCGAUAGUGCCACUCGCGAAGAGUUAGGAUGUGUGGUCAGCACUACCCAAUCCCUCACACUGGCUUAUCUGGACAAUUCGGCUCGGCUAUGUAAUCCAAUUCACCCAGCAUCCUCACAGGUUCAGUGGCAUUCUAGAAACGUCUGUGGCAGCCCAGAACGCUCCUGUCUUGCAAGAGGAGAUUGCUGUCCUCCUGGCAAAGGAUGCAAUCGAGCAGUCCCUCCAGCCGAGAUGAAGGCAGGGUUUACAGCCCCUACUUCAUUGUACCUAAGAAAGACUGUGGCCUUUGACCAAUCCUAGAUCUGCUAGUUCUGAAUCAGGCCCUGCACAAGCUUCCAUUCAGAAUGCUUACACAGAAACGCAUAUUUUCAUGUCUCCAUCCUUCCUCACCACAGACCGUUUCUUUGGUUCGUGUUCAAAGGUCGAGCAUGGCAAUACAAAAGUCCUCCCCUUCAGACUCUCCCUGUAUCCGUGGGUCUUUGUCAAGGUUGCAGAGGGCACUCUUGCCUCCUUUCGGGAAGUGGGCAUCAGACUCCUCAAUUAUCUCAACGACUGGCUUAAUCUAGCUCAGUCAUGUGAGAGAUUGUGCGAGCACAGGGACCUGGUGCUAUGACACCUCAGUCAGUUGGGGCUUUGGGUCAGAGGAUCUCUUUCUCUGUCUGGAGUUAGACUCGGCUCAUAUUAGCUAGCCGGACCUGGUUUUCCAUGUUUGGCUCCUGGGCGGGCGCUGCAGACUUAGGUGAUUUACCACAGGCUGUGGUGAACACUAUUAUUCAGGCUAGAGCUCCUCUCUACGAGACAAGCCUAUGCCUUGAAGUUGAGUCUGUUCACGAACUGGUGUUCUUCUUGCAGGGAAGACCCGGAAAUGCAUGAUUGGAGUAGUGCUUUCCUUCCUGCAAGAAGUGUUGGAGCGCAAGCAGUUACGCUCCACCCUAAAAAGUGUAUGUGGCUGCAACAGUCUGAUACAGGCUCAGUAUCUGCGUCGCUUGCCUGAAUCCAGUUAUCCCCUGUACUGGGCUAGGUGCUCCAUAUAGCUGAUUCUCCACUGAGAUCCUAUAUGUGUAUUCUCCACGGCAAGGUUCCUCUUGGGAACCCAUGUCUUCCCUUGACAAGAGUGGUCAGUACUUACUAGUUUCCACAUGUCAUUACGCAUUCCACAUUAAUACACAUUUAUAGAGCCAUUUGAUAACAUACUGUCACACUGUCACUUCCCUCACCUGACGAUCCUCCCACCUGGUCCCGCUCGCAAUCACCAGAGUACUAAUCACCUGAAACCUGCAGCCACUUCCCGUCACCCCAUAUAACCCGCUCACUCCAUUACCUUAGUUGCUGAUCUCAAGGUUGCACACACUACUCUGGUCACCUCUCUGUCUGCCUGCCUGCCUGCCUACUAACCCAAGAAAUCUCCUGUAUCAUAAAUUCUCCCAAAAGGAAAGACUUUUUUCUUGCUUUGUUGAACUCUUGAUUAUUACCAGUUCUGAAAUUCCUGUGUUGAUCGUUUGACGGCAGUAAGCCGAACUCUGCCCUUCUGUUAAUAAAACUUCAGUUUUGCUUGAAGCCUGAGUCUGUCUAUUGACCAGAGUGUGACACAUAAUAUGCUUCUUGACACAGACACUCUUGCUGACCAGAAACAAAUCUUGAGACCACGAUGGUACUGACGGUAAAGGUGGCUGUGCUGAUUGUGGCCUUUUGGGGCUUGUAAUCAUCACCUCCCCUAAGGGAAAGAAUAGAAGUAUUCAGACUUGUUCUGUGAACGAUUCAGAGGAGCGUCUCAGAGAAAAGGCCCAGAAUGCGUUAGCUGACAUUGGUUCUAAUCGUGUACUGCAUCCUUCUAAAAAGAGAGCGGCCCGAGGCCAGCAUGUCUUUAACAACGGGCUCCUUGGGUUCCACCGCAGCGUUCUGCAGGAGCUGCUGAGAGAUGUGGGGGGCUAUGAUGAACAGCUGGACAACCUGAUGCAGGACCUUGUGAUCCCUCUCAGAAAUACUCAACAAACUGCAAUUGAAACAAUGGUGGCCUACUUCAGCUCAAAUGAGCACUACGUGGAUUACAAUGCUGAUUUAUAUGGAGAGUUUGUGAAGGAGCUUCGAGAUGCACUUGUGAGAUACCUCAAGGCUGAGACAUCUGAGAGCCAAAAUGAGAGAUAUGAAAUCUGGAAAAAGCGCCAGCGGUGCACUUCAUUGCCACUCAAAUGGUGAACCACGAGGUUUAUGUGGACCCAAUGGCCCGUGAUCGCUGUCUGCAGGAACACCCAAGACCACAAGAUGAGCAACUGUACAAUCAGGUCAGAGAUGCACUAAAGAUUAGGUUCCAGGACAUCCUGCAGGACUUUCGAAGAGUGUCCGACAAGAUCCGUGUCUUUCGCAAGAGAAAGAACUGGAGCUGGGACAAAUAGGGACAUUACGUGAGUCUGCAGCAAAAACCUGUUCCAGGACCAGUCUUCCUUAAAGUACUUGAGUGCAUCUUGUUUCAUACUUUGAGUAUAAUUAAAUCAUGGUACUUCUACAUGAGUAAAAUAAAAUUGAAGAGUUCAACUUU